CAUCGCACUUUUCAUAUGUUAAAAUGUAAUUAACAUUUUGCAAUUGAUGCUACAGCAGUUCUAAAGCAUUUACGUGGUAUGUCUUGUCAAAAACCGUAAGAAACUCUUGCUUAAGAUUUUCGUAUAAAUUAAUGAUUAAUGUGAUUUACAUUGUACAAAACGCAAAUUAUGUCACAAGAACGUGUUCGUAUCUCAGUGCCUAGUGUCCUCUUAUAUUAAUUAGACCGCGUGAUCGAAGCUGACCUCAUUUUUAUUCAGAUCAAUUGAAAAAGCGUGCAUGAAAUACAAGCACGGUAAUAUGGAAAGUAUAGAAAUACGGGGCAUUGACGUAUGUAAGGUGUAAGAUUGCCAGGGCACGGGCCGCAAAAUGUACAAUCUAGGGCUGGCGGUGGGGGCCUCCGCCGUCAACGCAAGCUUACGUUCUGCGCAGAAUGGAGGUGGCGCGAGGUACAAACUCCAGAAUUACGGGCUGCGAACGAACUACAGAAGCAACAACAAUCUCCUGUGUUUCACAGGCAUCUCUAUUUAAUAAUAGUGGCCCUUUUCAAGGCUUCAAAUUCAUUCUAGCUUUAUUUACACCAGAUGUGAUAACAAUGCGAUAAUAAAAUACCAUUUUCUAUUUUUCCCAGA